rfam:Dipodomys ordii contig_30043, whole genome shotgun sequence.
GGAUGUGAGGGCGAUCUGGCUGCGACAUCUACCACCCCACUGACCACCAGGGUUGAUUCGGCUGAUCUGGCUGGCUAGGCAGGUGUCCCCUUCCUCCCUCACCGCUCCAUGUGCGUCCCUUCCAGAGCUGCGUGCUUGGUCCAAGAGGAUGAUCAUCCACGAUAGAGGAGGACAGGUCUUCGGUAAAGGGUAUAAGAAUAGCUGCGCUCCCCUGCUAGAACCUCCAAACAAGCUCUCAAAUUAUUAAGUAGUUGAUUACCCCUUAACAAAUAUUUUGGCUCUUCUAUUUUAUUUUUAU